rnacentral:misc_RNA from 1 species
UUGAAUAAACUUGAACAGGCUGUUUGCUGGCCUCUCUCUCCAGAGGGGUAUGUGCACGCUUGUCAUCUUUAUCUCUCCAACUGUGCACAUGCUGUAGAUCUGAGAGCCCUUUUGUAUUCUCGAAUAGAUUGAGGAUUGCUGUACUCAAGUGCGGCUUUGCCUUGCAUUUCCAGAUCUAUGUUUUUUUUUAUCACAAUCUCUGAAUGUGUCUAGAAUGUUGAAUCAAAUGAUAAAUCAUAUA